UACACUCCUACGGGAGGCAGCAGUGGGGAAUUUUGGACAAUGGGCGAAAGCCUGAUCCAGCAAUGCCGCGUGAGUGAAGAAGGCCUUCGGGUUGUAAAGCUCUUUUGUCAGGGAAGAAACGGUGAGAGCUAAUAUCUUUUGCUAAUGACGGUACCUGAAGAAUAAGCACCGGCUAACUACGUGCCAGCAGCCGCGGUAAUACGUAGGGUGCAAGCGUUAAUCGGAAUUACUGGGCGUAAAGCGUGCGCAGGCGGUUUUGUAAGUCUGAUGUGAAAUCCCCGGGCUCAACCUGGGAAUUGCAUUGGAGACUGCAAGGCUAGAAUCUGGCAGAGGGGGGUAGAAUUCCACGUGUAGCAGUGAAAUGCGUAGAUAUGUGGAGGAACACCGAUGGCGAAGGCAGCCCCCUGGGUCAAGAUUGACGCUCAUGCACGAAAGCGUGGGGAGCAAACAGGAUUAGAAACCCUAGUAGUCCC
rnacentral:rRNA from 1 species